rnacentral:rRNA from 1 species
AGGACGAACGCUGGCGGCGUGCUUAACACAUGCAAGUCGAGCGGAAAGGCCCUUCGGGGUACUCGAGCGGCGAACGGGUGAGUAACACGCGAGCAACCUGCCCUUAGCUUCGGGAUAGCUCCGGGAAACCGGAAUUAAUACCGAAUAUGAUUUUUGCUGACAUCAGCAGAAGUGGAAAGUUUUUCGGCUAGGGAUGGACUCGCGGCCUAUCAGCUAGUUGGUGAGGUAACGGCCCACCAAGGCGACGACGGGUA